rnacentral:rRNA from 1 species
AGCACCUCGGGGCGCAGCAGUGGGGAAUAUUGCACAAUGGGGGAAACCCUGAUGCAGCAACGCCGCGUGAGUGAAGAAGUAUUUCGGUAUGUAAAGCUCUAUCAGCAGGAACGAGACAAGACGGUACCUGACUAAGAAGCCCCGGCUAACUACGUGCCAGCAGCCGCGGUAAUACGUAGGGGGCAAGCGUUAUCCGGAAUCACUUGGUGUAAAGGGAGCGUAGACGGCUUAGCAAGCCUG